UACGUAGGGGGCGAGCGUUGUCCGGAUUUAUUGGGCGUAAAGAGCGUGUAGGCGGCUUGGUAGGUCUGCUGUGAAAACUCGGGGCUCAACCCCGAGACGCCGGUGGAAACCGUAAAGCUAGAGUCCGGAAGAGGAGAGUGGAAUUCCUGGUGUAGCGGUGAAAUGCGCAGAUAUCAGGAAGAACACCCGUGGCGAAGGCGGCUCUCUGGGACGGUACUGACGCUGAGACGCGAAAGCGUGGGGAGCGAACAGG
rnacentral:rRNA from 1 species